rnacentral:tRNA from 1 species
GGUGGUAUGGUUCAAGAAGCACAGCACCUGCCUAACAAGUAUGAAAACCUGAGUUCAAACCCUAGUACCACCA